CCUACGGGUGGCUGCAGUGGGGAAUAUUGGGCAAUGGGCGCAAGCCUGACCCAGCAACGCCGCGUGAAGGAAGAAGGCUUUCGGGUUGUAAACUUCUUUUCUCCGGGACGAAGCACGUGACGGUACCUGCGGGAUAAUCCCCGGCUAACUACGUGCCCGCAGCCGCGGUAAUACGUAGGUCGCAAGCGUUAUCCGGAUUUACUGGGUGUAAAGGGCGUUUAGGCGGGACUGCAAGUCAGAUGUGAAAACCAUGGGCUCAACCUAUGGCCUGCAUUUGAAACUGUAGUUCUUGAGUACUGGAGAGGCAGACGGAAUUCCUAGUGUAGCGGUGAAAUGCAUAGAUAUCACGCAGAACCCCGAUUGCGAAGGCAGCAUACCGGUGCACAACUGACGCUCAGGCACGAAAGCGUGGGUAUCGAACAGGAUUAGAUACCCUUGUAGUC
rnacentral:rRNA from 1 species